AAACCCUCUUUCACUCACCCAAGCUGCAUCUCUGCUCCCUCGAGCUUCAUCACACCCCUUUGUUCGAGUGAUUUCAAAAACCCUAACAGUGAAGGAUUUUACCCUUGGCAGAGAAGGAGAAGGUCUACGAAGAAAUGAGAGGAGGCGGAGGAGCAAAGCUUUAGAAGGAGAACUAAAGAGGGAAAGAGAUAAAAUUUCUAGCUCAACUGCUAAUUGCAGCAACCCUGAUUUACUUAAAUAUAGAUGCAUCAAGUGUAUAUGUAAUCGAAAAGAUGUAAUUAGGAUCUCAGAAACUGCAGAAAAUCUAAAUAGAUCAAAUCUUUUACA